UCAACAUCGCUUCAGUCGCGUCGACGUUACCUCAUUGCCACGCCCCCAACUCGACGAAAAUCUGUUUCCUGCUUGUACUGACGACUCCUAAUUGCCAAAUAUUUUAUUUAAACGAGCAAUUUAACGUUAUCGAAUGCACUCACAAAAUUGCCUCGAUGCAUCGUAACGCGUGCCUAUUAUAGCACACAUCGAGGACUCGCGCCGAAUGAAAAUCGCGCCGAAUGAAAAUCGCGCAUCAGAAGAUGUAGCGUCACUUCCGGCUCGUGGGGCCAGGGCAUUUAACGUAAACAAAUGAGGUCUCACUGUACUGUAGCGGACGACUUCGAAUAUACCGUGCGCCCGCUUAAGUGCACUUGACUUCAGAUAAGAAUGUGAAGAGUUGAAGUUAUCCAGCCUCACAGACAGCAGCGCCACCGUGUGUCGAUGCAGAGGAGAGGCAUGUUCACUGUUCAAAUCUGUUUCUGGAACCACAGCACACCCUGCAGGUACACCAGCAUCCCAUUGAUGUGCACUUCAGAGUUGAGUAUUCGGACAUCAGAUAUCUUCGAGUGUCCACCAGGUGUCGGAGUGAACAUCACUGCCUGAGUUUUUCCACAUGUGCUGUGUGUGAGUUUAGGCCCCUCGCUCCGAGACGCUCUCUUCAACAGCCUCGAUUGUGCAAUAUUUAGUAUCUGGAACAGGCAUAAAUCCAAACGGCUGGAUGCCUGGCUCCAUGAACCUGCCCUGUGGUUUGUGUCAUCUUAUCUCAAGGUCAAAGUGGCGGAUGAAUUUUCCUGAUGGUUAGGAUCGUUGUGGACUAGCAGAACCCCAGCGACUCAUGUAUGUUUAGACAGUGUGGUCCAAAUGUAUACAUGUAUCUGGAGCGCCGCUGUUUGCUGAGCAGCCGAACGCGUGCCGUGUUUCCCAGCGUUGACAGGAUCUUGGAGGCUGUGCGGACGGCCUGCCGAAACCUGGCCCUGCCUCAGCCCGGACGCCUGUAAUCUGGGUUAAGAGAGAGUAAGACAAAAAGAGAGAAACCGAGACAGAUCACAGAGCCCGGUGACGUCACAGCGGCCGGGUUGUUCCACCAGGAUGGAAAAUAAUAAACGCAAGGGAUUUCUGUUAGUGUAAUCAGCUCACCUUUGUUCUCCUGCCUGGUCUUGAAGAAAAGGAGACUGAUAAAGACGACAGAAGCAGGUGGAUAAAAGAGGCGAGCGGAGACCUCUCGGAUGUUAUCUGCUCUGGGCUCCGGAAUGCCACGACACAAUCACUAAAGAGAAACUCUCCUCUUAAACACACACACAUACAGGGCCCAUUGUUGGCGGCGUGGCGUCUGUGAUCAUGCAGGCCUACGGAUGAUGAACGUGUGGCCCCUUCUCCAUUUUCUUCCCAUCUAACCCCUGAUCCCGGACCCCCGGCGGCUCCUGCAUCACAGAGGGCUCUCUUACAGCACAGCACACUCCGAUUAUUAUCUCCCUCUUCCUGCUUUUUCAUCUUAACUCGCCUCUCUUCACUCGUUUCCUCUCUUCCACCGGCCUGUCCUCGCUCACCUGCCGAGGAACGUCGCCAGCGGGAACCCUGUCAAGAAAAGAGUGUUGUGUUUGGAUCCGUCCGUGCAUGACAUGAUUCCAUUUGAUAAUAAUUUUCACAGCUGCUUUGAUAGAACAAUCGUGGCCGUUGCCGGUGAUGUCAGUUAUUUUGAUGUGACGUGUUAAGACGGGAUCAACGGUACCGUCUAGAACAUUGUUUGUUAUGCAUGUCUUCAGUCGCUAAUCAAUUAGCCUUAUCUUAAACGCACACUUCAGAGAUGGAAGUGAAGACGGUUUGUUGGAAACAAUGGCUUGUCUGAGCUCAACGAAGGUGCCGAGCAGAAACUUAAUCUGUCUAACGUCAUAUCGAGUAUGACUGAAUACAGAUCAAAAAUGAAUUGUGGAUUAUACAGGAUAAAUAUUCUAGAACGGUGACACUCCAGAAUAAAAACUUCAAUUCGCUUUUUUAUAGAUCAUGAGUUACUUCACCCAUAAAUUGAAAUACUAGGGGCGUGCAAAAAUAUCGAUACCUCGUGUGCAUUCAGUAUCACACAAGUGUUGUUUUUAAGGGUUUUGUCUGCUAAUCGUCUCCUUUUAAGCUCCACAGGCGAAAGAAGGUCAUACGGGUGAGUUAACUGUUUUUUCAUCUUUGGCUAAAUCUUAACAAAAUAAACACGUACACAACUGAGGCUAUAUUGUUGAGAUAUAGGAAACAUAUAGAUGUAUAAAAUGUUCAUAGCAAAGUUGUAUUUUAUAGAAUUUUAUUGAGUUUGAGUUUAUAUUGAGAACUCUGACUUUUGACCUGAACCCCGAGACCAGCUUUGAGAUUUAGUUGAGAUUUCUUUUGAAACUGAGGCGUUAAGAUAAAAGAAAGAGAUUGCACAUGUCUCCAUUUGCUCCAUCUUGACACCACGGUUAUGUGUAUAUAGGACUGUUGUGUACAUACUGUACGAUUAUGUUUCGCUCUACACAGAAAAGAUAAGUUGACUGUCACAAAAAUAAUUCACUACCACGCAAAGCAACCCGACUGAUCCUGAAUCAGCAGAGAGAGGGAUGUGGUGUUAAAAGCAAACAUACAGAAGAUAUGACAAGACGUAGAUCUCAGUGUUUUGAGAUUUUGUGUUUGGUCGCCAUGGCAAGGCGCCUUUCCCCCUUCCAUCUUUAUGUUGGUUUCUAUUGAGAGGUGAGGAAGCAGAAUGUGUGGAAUGUUAGAAGGAACGUGACAUCUCUACCAUCCUUCAGACACGCCGCCUUCUCCAAGCACUUCACAUUUGACCCGUGACUGCUCUUGAUCUUCAUACGCUGUUUGACGUUGCUUCAUCAGACGCUGCAAAAUAAUAACUUGUUAUACAUUUUAAGUCUUUUAGUUGCAUGAUGUGUGCAUCUUCUAAUGUCUGAAGCAUUGAAGUUUAAGCCAGUGGAGGUCGUGCGUGAAUAGAAUUCAAGUUUAACGGUUCAGGGAUCAAACUCCUCGUUCAGAUGAGGAGUUUUGAUGAAAAGUUGGAUCCCACGCACUAACUUGACUCUGCUGACCUUGUAGGUGACCUUCUCCGCAGUCAGUUGGGCGUUUUAUGGGAAAGAGAUGGAGUGUCUAUGGAGACCGCCAAAUGUUGAUGGGCAAUGUUAACUGACAGGUUACUGAUGAUGUCAGAUGUUUUUUUGACACCAGGCGCUGAGCCGUCAUAACCUGAGGGCACAGGAAAAUCUCCUCGGAGACUUCGGCACCGUUGUGAUAAUUACGAGAAUGCAGACGGAUGAUUAGGGCGCCGGUGAGAUCCAGAAUGCAAUGCGUGUGUGGUCUCGCAAACACAUGCAAUAUCAACAUACCCACCAUUUACUGGUCAUGCAUUAAUUGUGCACAUUUACCGUAUUUGUUGACAUUUGCAUCCACGUACAAAGCCGCAGUAACGAAAACUCCACCCCGACGGUCAUCCCUUCCCAGAAGUCUAAUGAGGGACAUUUUGACAAGUAUGACAGCAUCCAUCCACCAGGUCAGAGGUGUCCUCUUUGAAGUCCACAGGUCUUCUGGAUGUUUAUGUCCACGGGGCGAUACGCGCAGGUGACGCCUCCGCCUGCCCUGUUUAUUUGGAGCCGUGUUGCAGAUUUUCAUGACAAAGUGAGGAAAGUUUCUGUGCUCUCUGAAGUCGCCGGCUUGUUGGCGUGCAGAAACAGCUCUAGACCUUUAGUUUCAACCGAGCAACUUUGCAAUGCUGCUUGCGAUUGAUCAUUGGAACAAGGUUU